UGGCUCUCGCAUCGAUGAAGAACGCAGCGAAAUGCGAUACGUAAUGUGAAUUGCAGAAUCCAGUGAAUCAUCGAAUCUUUGAACGCACCUUGCGCCGCGUGGAUUACCACGGGGCACGCCCGUUCGAGUGUCACGUUAACCCAUCGCCCCCGGAGCUUUUGUGGCAAAGGGGUUGCGGACGUGGGCGUUGCGGGCGAUGAGCCCGCUCGCCUGAAAUGCAUUAGUGGAUCGGCCAGCCGGCUUCCCACGGUGUGAUAUUUCUUUGCACCUGACUGUGGAGCGGCGGGAGGCGUCCGCUUCGAGCCCCGCGCUUCGACGUGCGGAACUUUCAAGUGUCUGACCUCGAAUCGGGUGGGAUUACCCGCUGA
rnacentral:misc_RNA from 1 species